UCAUCAACCCCUUUCUUCUUCUUUCUCUCAGCCGCCAAAACUCAACAACCACCAAAACUCUCACGCCUCCUCAUUCGAUCGACUCAACCCUCGUCUCUCAUUCUCUCACAUCUCCAUUUCUGAACGGUGGUUAGACUCAUUCAACCAUGUUCUUCAUUCAAUCUCACAACCAUGAAUACAGGCCAGCUUCGUCGUCUUCUUCUCGUCAUCGUAACUUCCGGCGCCGCUAGAUAACCACCACCAUCAUCGCCUUCUCUUGAAUCAAAGGUCUCGGAACACCAAUCACAUCCGAAGUACAUCAUUCCUCCAUUUCAACCGCGAUUUUGAUUCUUAACACAAAACCCUAGGUUCUUUACGGACAGAAUUGAACAUUCACCGUCACAAAUUGAGCUCAAUUCCUUGGGGGUUCGAUUCACCAUAGCAUAAGCUUCGUGUUGGUGACAAGAACUAAGCAAAGCGGUGAAGUAAAGAAUGAGUUCGGCAGUUACCUAUCAGAGAUUAACAAAUGCAAUUUCGACAACGACGAAGAGAAAAAGAAAACCAGAUGCUCCGCCUUUCAGGGUAAACCAAGAAAUAACACACAGAGAUGAUGUUUCAUAGGAGAUGACAAGGAGACUUUUGAGACAUUUGAAUCUAUGGAGUUUGGACUACUCUUUUUCUAGAGGAACUGCUCAUUUACUUGCAAAGAUCUUGACUAUCAACAAACUCUAAGUGCCAACGGGUGGGUUCAAUCCUAUGGAUCCCACUAUGUCAAACAAGCAAUUAUCUAUGGUGAUGUGAGUCGUCCCAAGCCAAUGACUGUUUUCUGGUCUUCGACAGCUCAAAGUUUGACAAAACGACCUAUGAAGGGAAUGCUUACUGGCCCUGUUACAAUUCUGAACUGGUCCUUUGUUAGAGAUGACCAACCUUGAUUUGAGACUUGCUACCAGAUUGCGUUGGCUAUAAAGGAUGAGGUUGAGGAUCUUGAGAAAGCUAGCAUUACUGUCAUCCAAAUCGACGAGGCUGCUUUAAGAGAAGGUUUGCCUCUAAGGAAAUCUGAGGAGGCUUUCUAUCUAAACUGGGCAGUUCACUCAUUUAGGAUUACAAACUGUGGUGUGCAAGACACUACCCAGGUUCAACUUCACUUCACGGGCUCUAAUCUUCAUUGAUGAUUAUUAUGCAGUUUAUUUACUAAGCUUGUAUUAAUUCUAACAACAUUUCUACAAGAGGAUUACAACAAGUGUCAAAAUUGUGGAAAGUUCAGUCCAAAAAUCACUGAACCAUUCUUCGGAUGGUUUCACAUAGUAAAUUAUUUGUUUCUCUCCUUGAUGGAUUCUAUUUUUCAGAAAUUGGUAAUUUUUCUUCUUUUUCAUGUUAUUUCUCCAUAUUUGCUAUUUGGUUGAUGGUUCUAGGAAGCUCUAUCGGAUUCUCAAGCCAGAGAAAAUGAUAUUAAAUAAAGCGGUGCAUCCUU